rnacentral:rRNA from 1 species
AGAGUUUGAUCCUGGCUCAGGAUGAACGCCGGCGGCAUGCCUAACACAUGCAAGUCGAACGGGGUUUAUAUAACAGAACUCUCCGGAGGGAAGAUAUAUAAACCUAGUGGCGGACGGGUGAGUAACGCGUGGGCAACCUGCCCUGUACCGGGGGACAACAGCCAGAAAUGGCUGCUAAUACCGCAUAAGCCUGCGGUGCCGCAUGGCACAGCAGGGAAAACCACGGUGGUACAGGAUGGGCCCGCGUCUGAUUAGUUAGUUGGCAGGGUAACGGCCUACCAAGACGAUGAUCAGUAGCCGGCUUGAGAGAGUGGACGGCCACAUUGGGACUGAGACACGGCCCAGACUCCUGCGGGAGGCAGCAGUGGGGAAUAUUGCACAAUGGGGGGAACCCUGAUGCAGCAAUGCCGCGUGGGUGAAGAAGCACUCCGGUGCGUAAAGCCCUGUCAGCAGGGAAGAAAAUGACAGUACCUGACCAAGAAGCCCCGGCUAACUACGUGCCAGCAGCCGCGGUAAUACGUAGGGGGCAAGCGUUAUCCGGAUUUACUGGGUGUAAAGGGAGCGCAGGCGGUAUGGCAAGUCAGAUGUGAAAACCCAGGGCCCAACCCUGGAACUGCAUUUGAAACUGCCAUACUGGAGUGCCGGAGAGGUAAGUGGAAUUCCUAGUGUAGCGGUGAAAUGCGUAGAAUUUAGGAGGAACACCAGUGGCGAAGGCGGCUUACUUGGACGGUAACUGACCGCUGAAGGCUCGAAAAGCGGGGGGAGCAAACAGGAUUAGAUACCCUGUAGUCCACGCUGUAAACGAUGAAUACCAGGGGGCCGGGUACCUAAUUACCUCGGGGCCGCAGCUAACGCAAUAUGUUUUCCACGUGGGGAGUGUGUUCGCGAGAGUGAAACUAAAAGGAAGUGGCGGGGACCCGCACAAGCGGUGGAGCAUGUGGUUUAAUUAGAAGCAACGAGAAGCACUUUCACGUGUCUAGAUAUCUUUGUGAAAGGCCUGUAGGGGGGCCCGGCUUUCGGCACAGAAGAGACAGGUGGCGCAUGGUUGUUGUCAGCUCGUGUCGUGAGAUGUUGGGUUAAGUCGCGCAAAGAGCGCAACCCAUAUCCACAGUAGCCAGCAGUCUUUUGGGCUCUGUGUGGAGAGUCACAGGGAGAACGUGGAGGAAGGGGGGGAUGGUGUAAUAUUAUCAUGCCCCUUAUGAUUUGGGAUACACACGUGAUACAAUGGUGUAAACAGAGGGAGGAGAAGGAGAUAUCGGGAGCAAACCCCAGAAAUAAUGUCACAUUUGGGAUCACAGGGCGCACCCCGCGCGCAUGAAGGGGGAAUCUAUAGUAAUCGGGGAUCAGAAUGCCGCGGAGAAUAUUUUCCGGUGUCUUGCACACACC